GACAUAGGUGGCGAACGUUAUCCGGAAUUAUUGGGCGUAAAGGGUGCGUAGAUGGUUUAGUAAGUUAGCAGCGGGAAAUCGAGGCUCAACCUCGUGGAAGUUGUUAAUACUACUAUAUUUGAGUGCAGGAGAGGUUAACGGAACUCAAUGUGGAGCGGUAAAAUGCGUAGAUAUAUUGAAGAACACCAAUAACGGCGAAGGCAGUUAACUAUUCUGUUACUGACGUUGAGGCACGAAAGCGUGGGGAGCAAAACGG
rnacentral:rRNA from 1 species